rnacentral:rRNA from 1 species
CAGUAGCCGCGGGAAUACGUAGGUGGCAAGCGUUGUCCGGAAUUAUUGGGCGUAAAGGGCUCGCAGGCGGUUUCUUAAGUCUGAUGUGAAAGCCCCCGGCUCAACCGGGGAGGGUCAUUGGAAACUGAGAAACUUGAGUGCAGAAGAGGAGAGUGGAAUUCCAUGUGUAGCGGUGAAAUGCGUAGAGAUGUGGAGGAACACCAGUGGCGAAGGCGACUCUCUGGUCUGUAACUGACGCUGAGGAGCGAAAGCGUGGGGAGCGAACAGGAUUAGAUACCCCUGUAGUCCCUGUCUCUUAUAC